AACUCAUUAUGUUGCAGUCUUUUCCAGUUGAUAAAAUUGCAAUUCAAAAACUUUUAGAUUUGCACUAGAUUGGCACAGAAAGAGAACAGUACAAGAACAUGAAACAUCUUAUUAUGAAUGUAUAUGUAAGUGAUCCUCAAAAAAUUAUUUUACAAAACAAGAUAGAGAAAGAGCUUUAAAAUCCCAAGGAUCCUGCAAAAUGUUUAUUUGGUGUACUAGUCGAAUAAUAGUAUCUAAAAAUAUUGAAACUAUUUUAAAACAUAUUACGGACACGAGGAUGAUAUAGAGCACUUACAUAAAUACCAAAAUCAGGUAAAUAUCUCUUCAAAGUUUAUUUUGAGACUUUCUUCAAAAAUGUAAGUAAAAUAUUUGCAUAUCGACGGCGGAAAGGUAGGACUUCGUAACUGAAAAAAUUUUAUAACAUGAGUUAAUUCAGUUUUCGCUUUAGAAUAAGUGUAUCGGCAGCUAUUAAACAGCGAUUACAGCUGGGAAAGUUUCCGGAAGGCUUCUAGAAGGCUUUCCCAGCUCUAAAAGCUGUUUAAUAGGUGCUGAUGCACUUAUUAUAAAUCGAAAACCGAAGUAACUCAUUUUAUACAAAUUUUUCAGUUAUGAGGUCCUGCCUUUCCGCCGUCGAUAUACACAAUAUAAUUUAAAACAAGAAUGUUACCACUAAACCACUUUUUUAAAUAUUACUCAUGAAUAUUUACUACAUUUUACAAUUUCAAACUAGUGUGUUUGAUUCUCCUAUACCUAUAUUUUACUUUUUUAGUAAACUUCAGACUGUUCAGGAUAGCAUAAUAGCAUAGGAGGCGAAUUAAAAAGAAUUAAUUUACUUACAAGUAAAGAUAUCACAAACAUUAAACUAUCUUAUGGCAUUGAUUUGAAAGAUGGGUAUAUGUACAAUGAUGAUGCAACCAGUGUUUAUUUUUGGGUUGAAUGCUUACAGACUCAUGUCCAAUAUUAUUUUACAAACAACAGGGCAUACUAAUGGAUAUUCAUUCUGAAUUUAACAUUUAUGAUUUUUGUCUUAUUUUCCUUAAUACUGUGCCAAAAGGAAAUGUUAAUUAAGUGUGGUAAAUCCUUUAUCGCAAUCGAUGGAACUCAUAGGCUCAAUUCCUAUGACUUUGAACUUAUGACAGUAUUAGUAAAAGAUGAAUUUGGGAAUGGAUUUUGUACUGCUUUCUUAUUUUCAAAUAGAAAAAAUACUUACUUUAAUUUACCGAUUUUUUAAAUACAUGUCUGUGUUGGUAUUAUAUGUAUAGUCAAAUGUUUUCAUAUCAGGCAUAAGCGACACCUUUUACAAUGCCUCGUCAAAUGUAAUGGGUAUUGCUCCUAAUAGACUGUUAAGUGCCUGGCACAUAGAUAGGGCAUGGUAAGUAAAUCUUAAUAAAAUAUCUGAUUCUGAAAAAAAUCCUAUUAUGUAUACAAGAUGUAUUAAUGAUGGUUUAGAGAGUAUUAAUAGCUUUUUGGGUAGACUUCUAAGUGAUGCAGAUACAUACAAUUUUAGUAAGUAUUUCCAGUAGAACUAGUGCAAUAACAUCCAACAAUGGGCCUAUUGUUAUAGGAAGGGGUUGUGGAAUUAAUACCAAUAUGACCAUUCAAAAUUUUCAUAAAAUUUUGGAUAAAAGGGUAUCCAUUAGUUGUUAUCAGUUAAGUUUGAAACUUCGCACUUAUGGAGAGCUAUACCAUAAUAUAUAAUAUAUAUAUCUCAUAAUAUUACAUCUCAUAUUGCUCACUCAUUACAAUAGUGAGCAAUAUGAGAUAUAACAUAUUAUAGUAUAAGUCUCUGUGCAUGACCAGAUUAACAUGUUUGGUGCCCAUCUCGAACAAGCUCCACUUGGCUGGUACCACAUACUUAAAUCAUUUAUUUAGUUACACAGUACUACUCACAUAACUUAUGUGUCGUCAGUACCUUCCGUAAAACCUUCGUGAUGCUACCCAUACGUCAUGGCCACUGAAUGUGUUAAAGCUUGUUAAUGUAGGAGAGUUAUACUAAAAUAUAUAUCUUAUAUUAUAUUGCCUUAAAUAGAAAAAAUAUCUUAUUUAAAUUGUAUCCAUGUAAGUUUUGAUUUAAUGAAAUAAACCUUUUAAUCAAAAAAGUGUUGUUUACUUGUGUACACCCAGCAA
rnacentral:lncRNA from 1 species